rnacentral:rRNA from 1 species
GGGUUGUGAGGUUAAGCGACUAAGCGUACACGGUGGAUGCCCUGGCAGUCAGAGGCGAUGAAGGACGUGCUAAUCUGCGAAAAGCGUCGGUAAGGUGAUAUGAACCGUUAUAACCGGCGAUGUCCGAAUGGGGAAACCCAGUGCAAUUCGUUGCACUAUCGUUAACUGAAUACAUAGGUUAACGAGGCGAACCGGGGGAACUGAAACAUCUAAGUACCCCGAGGAAAAGAAAUCAACCGAGAUUCCCCCAGUAGCGGCGAGCGAACGGGGAGCAGCCCAGAGUCUGAAUCAGCUUGUGUGUUAGUGGAACGGUCUGGAAAGUCCGACGGUACAGGGUGAUAGUCCCGUACACCAAAAUGCACAGGUUGUGAACUCGAAGAGUAGGGCGGGACACGUGGUAUCCUGUCUGAAUAUGGGGGACCAUCCUCCAAGGCUAAAUACUCCUGACUGACCGAUAGUGAACCAGUACCGUGAGGGAAAGGCGAAAAGAACCCCGGCGAGGGGAGUGAAAAAGAACCUGAAACCGUGUACGUACAAGCAGUGGGAGCACCUUCGGGUGUGACUGCGUACCUUUUGUAUAAUGGGUCAGCGACUUAUAUUCUGUAGCAAGGUUAACCGUAUAGGGGAGCCGCAGGGAAACCGAGUCUUAACUGGGCGUUAAGUUGCAGGGUAUAGACCCGAAACCCGGUGAUCUAGCCAUGGGCAGGUUGAAGGUUGGGUAACACUAACUGGAGGACCGAACCGACUAAUGUUGAAAAAUUAGCGGAUGACUUGUGGCUGGGGGUGAAAGGCCAAUCAAACCGGGAGAUAGCUGGUUCUCCCCGAAAGCUAUUUAGGUAGCGCCUCGUGAAUUCAUCUUCGGGGGUAGAGCACUGUUUCGGCUAGGGGGUCAUCCCGACUUACCAACCCGAUGCAAACUACGAAUACCGAAGAAUGUUAUCACGGGAGACACACGGCGGGUGCUAACGUCCGUCGUGAAGAGGGAAACAACCCAGACCGCCAGCUAAGGUCCCAAAGUCAUGGUUAAGUGGGAAACGAUGUGGGAAGGCACAGACAGCCAGGAUGUUGGCUUAGAAGCAGCCAUCAUUUAAAGAAAGCGUAAUAGCUCACUGGUCGAGUCGGCCUGCGCGGAAGAUGUAACGGGGCUAAACCAUGCACCGAAGCUGCGGCAGCGACACUAUGUGUUGUUGGGUAGGGGAGCGUUCUGUAAGCCUGCGAAGGUGACCUGUGAGGGUUGCUGGAGGUAUCAGAAGUGCGAAUGCUGACAUAAGUAACGAUAAAGCGGGUGAAAAGCCCGCUCGCCGGAAGACCAAGGGUUCCUGUCCAACGUUAAUCGGGGCAGGGUGAGUCGACCCCUAAGGCGAGGCCGAAAGGCGUAGUCGAUGGGAAACAGGUUAAUAUUCCUGUACUUGGUGUUACUGCGAAGGGGGACGGAGAAGGCUAUGUUAGCCGGGCGACGGUUGUCCCGGUUUAAGCAUGUAGGCUGGUUGUCCAGGCAAAUCCGGAUAAUCAAGGCUGAGGUGUGAUGACGAGGCACUACGGUGCUGAAGUAACAAAUGCCCUGCUUCCAGGAAAAGCCUCUAAGCAUCAGGUAACAUCAAAUCGUACCCCAAACCGACACAGGUGGUCAGGUAGAGAAUACCAAGGCGCUUGAGAGAACUCGGGUGAAGGAACUAGGCAAAAUGGUGCCGUAACUUCGGGAGAAGGCACGCUGGUGUGUAGGUGAAGUCCCUGCGGAUGGAGCUGAGACCAGUCGAAGAUACCAGCUGGCUGCAACUGUUUAUUAAAAACACAGCACUGUGCAAACACGAAAGUGGACGUAUACGGUGUGACGCCUGCCCGGUGCCGGAAGGUUAAUUGAUGGGGUUAUCCGUAAGGAGAAGCUCUUGAUCGAAGCCCCGGUAAACGGCGGCCGUAACUAUAACGGUCCUAAGGUAGCGAAAUUCCUUGUCGGGUAAGUUCCGACCUGCACGAAUGGCGUAAUGAUGGCCAGGCUGUCUCCACCCGAGACUCAGUGAAAUUGAACUCGCUGUGAAGAUGCAGUGUACCCGCGGCAAGACGGAAAGACCCCGUGAACCUUUACUAUAGCUUGACACUGAACAUUGAGCCUUGAUGUGUAGGAUAGGUGGGAGGCUUUGAAGCGUGGACGCCAGUCUGCGUGGAGCCAACCUUGAAAUACCACCCUUUAAUGUUUGAUGUUCUAACGUUGGCCCCUUACCGGGGUUGCGGACAGUGUCUGGUGGGUAGUUUGACUGGGGCGGUCUCCUCCCAAAGCGUAACGGAGGAGCACGAAGGUUAGCUAAUCCUGGUCGGACAUCAGGAGGUUAGUGCAAUGGCAUAAGCUAGCUUGACUGCGAGCGUGACGGCGCGAGCAGGUGCGAAAGCAGGUCAUAGUGAUCCGGUGGUUCUGAAUGGAAGGGCCAUCGCUCAACGGAUAAAAGGUACUCCGGGGAUAACAGGCUGAUACCGCCCAAGAGUUCAUAUCGACGGCGGUGUUUGGCACCUCGAUGUCGGCUCAUCACAUCCUGGGGCUGAAGUAGGUCCCAAGGGUAUGGCUGUUCGCCAUUUAAAGUGGUACGCGAGCUGGGUUUAGAACGUCGUGAGACAGUUCGGUCCCUAUCUGCCGUGGGCGCUGGAGAAUUGAGGGGGGCUGCUCCUAGUACGAGAGGACCGGAGUGGACGCAUCACUGGUGUUCGGGUUGUCAUGCCAAUGGCACUGCCCGGUAGCUAAAUGCGGAAGAGAUAAGUGCUGAAAGCAUCUAAGCACGAAACUUGCCCCGAGAUGAGUUCUCCCUGAGACUUUAAGUCUCCUGAAGGAACGUUAAAGACGAUGACGUUGAUAGGCCGGGUGUGUAAGCGCAGCGAUGCGUUGAGCUAACCGGUACUAAUGAACCGUGAGGCUUAACCUUACAACGCCGAAG